rnacentral:rRNA from 1 species
UAGGGAAUAUUGCACCAUGGGCGAAAGCCUGAUGCAGCAACGCCGCGUGAGUGAAGAAGGCCCUCGGGUCGUAAAACUCUUUUCAAGAGGAAGAGGAAGGACGGUACUCUUGGAAUAAGCCUCGGCUAACUACGUGCCAGCAGCCGCGGUAACACGUAGGAGGCGAGCGUUAUUCGGAUUUACUGGGCGUAAAGCGCGUGUAGGCGGCUCAAUAAGUUGGAUGUGAAAGCUCCCGGCUUAACUGGGAGAGGACGUUCAAAACUAUAGAGCUUGAGUGUGAGAGAGGAAAAUGGAAUUCCGGGUGUAGUGGUGAAAUGCGUAGAUAUCCGGAGGAACACCAGUGGCGAAGGCGAUUUUCUGGCUCGCAACUGACGCUCAGACGCGAAAGCUAGGGUAGCAA